UACGAAGGGGGCUAGCGUUGUUCGGAAUCACUGGGCGUAAAGCGCACGCAGGCGGAUCGUUAAGUCAGGGGUGAAAUCCCGAGGCUCAACCUCGGAACUGCCUUUGAUACUGGCGAUCUUUGAGUCCGGGAGAGGUGAGUGGAACUCCGAGUGUAGAGGUGAAAUUCGUAGAUAUUCGGAAGAACACCAGUGGCAGAAGGCGGCUCACUGGCCCGGUACGUGACGCUCAGGUGCGAAAGCGUGGGGAGCAAAC
rnacentral:rRNA from 1 species